AAAGUUUUAAGUUAAUAAAACUAAUAACCUUCAAAGUUAUAAAUAUGAAAAAUUUCAUAAGCUUUA
rnacentral:tRNA from 1 species